ensembl:lncRNA
CGAUAUUGAGAUUAUAUUGAUAAUUAAUACAUAAGAAAUCAUAUUUUCAUAUAAAUGUAUGAAUAGUAACAUUAAUUAACAUCGAUCAUAAUUAUACACAAUUAAAGAAGUAGUUCACACAAAAGUAAAGAAUGUCAUCAUUUACUCUCAUGCCAUUCCAAACCUGUAUGACUUACUUUUUUGCGGAACACAAAAUAAGCGAUAUCAGUAUUUUUAGUCUGUACAAUGAAAGCCAAUGGGGUCUAAGUUGUUGUUUUUCUCUUAAAAUAUCUUAUUUUGUGUUCUGCAGAUUAAAGAACAUAAUUGAGUGAGUAAACAGACAGAAUUUUCAUUUUUAAGUGCACCAGUGCCAGAAUAGAUGCUUUGCUCUCAACUAAAAAAGAAAAAAAAAUGUAGCAUUAAAUCAGAGAAAUGAACAGAUUUCCCUUUAAAGAGAAAUGAAUGUUGCGGUUCUCUAAUAGGAAGCAGAUCACAAGACAGGAAGUGCGUUUUCUGCCCUGUCAGCAGUAGUGCUCGUGUGUGUUGAAGCGUGUGGUGUGAAUGUGCGAGUAUGAGGGGAGUUCCUGCGAGCGCACAGCCACUGUCACCGUGACACCCGCAAACCCGUCCCAUCUCUCCUUAAUCACCCACAUCCCACCCGCCAUCCAUAUUACUAUUGACCUGAACCAUUUAGAAGCAAAAGAGGAAGUUUAAAGAGAAAAAAAGGCCAUGAUAAAGAGAGGUAUUUAAUUACUGAUUUGCAUGUGCAACGUGCAUGCCACUUUGUGGGUUAACAAGUCAACUUCAGGAAUUAUAAAAUAUAAAAAGAAAUAUAAAGAAAAAGAGUAUAUAUGUAUAAAUAUAUAAAUAUAGUUAGAUGUUUUUAUGAGCAAUGUGUUCCUUUUUUCUUCUAUUUUUAAAAAUGAAAAAGACAAAAAAGAGCACCAAGAUGAAAAAACAAAACAAAUAAUAAUACAGAGACAUGAUAAAACUCAUAGAAUGUUUGUUUGUUUCUAUUGCCAACUGUUCUCUGAGAAUCGUAGGUAAGGUGAGCACACAACAUGCUGUGGAAAUGUGCUACAGAGUUUAAAAAUAAAAAAUAAAAAGGUGAAAAGAUACCCAGUAACUCUCAGUAUGACAGACUGCACAUCGCUCUGAUUUAAGAAGAAAUCCAAAACCCUUUUGCUGAUGUUGAGCUGUGAAAGAGGCUGCCUGAAACUGGUGAUGUUACACAUUUAUUCUGGCUAUGAAAAAUCCCCCUUUUUCUCUCUCUUCCUCUGUCUCUCUAUCUCUCUGCUAUUUCUACCAGUGCAUUUUGUAAUUCCGAACAGAACUCUUCCUAAAGAACCUGAAUAAAAACCAGAGAGAAUGCAUUCUAAACCCA